UAGACAAGCCUUGAGACUCACUAGAGGUCCUCCAGUAAAGCUGGGAACGUCAAGACCUAAUAUGCCUGAUAAUUCUAAGGGAGAGCAUUUCAGAACUGGCCAACACCUCCCCUCCCAUCCUCACACAAAUCUUGGAUGCUGAAUGUAUUUGUGAGGAGGACUUCAGCUUCUGAAUGAGAUAUUAUAAAGCCUAUGUCACAGAAAGAAAAAUGGGAUAAAGGCUGUGAAGCAUCCUGCCACCAUAGGAUUCUCCUAUACUGGGCAUGGAGAUCACCAUGUGCCAAUGAACUGACCUGGCAACUGAACCGUGACAUGGAUGUUGCCUCAUACUCUUCCUGGAGGACAAGCCAAUAGCAAUGGUUGGAAAGAAAAAUGUUUUGCUAUCAGCAAAUGGCAAUUCAUUGAAAGCAAAACAGGAAAACGUUGAUGAGAUUUUUGGUUAUUUUGGAGGGAAAAACAGGAAUGAGCGUUUCGAUUUUCCAUUUUGAGACAACUUUUUGUGUAAACUUGUGGCUUUUGUAAAAUUAAAAAUUAAUCUUGAUUUUAUCACAGUGCAAUAUUUUGCUCAAACUUUUUUUGAGAAGGAAUUCUCUGUCAUGUGACAUCUUGGAUUAGUUCUGUUUUAAAACAGGAAAAAAAUAAUCAAAAUCAAACCUCAAAAUUUCCUACAAACUGAAAAAGUGAGUUCCUGCCUAGCUUUGCAAGUCAGUGACACAGUGUCAAUUACUGGAAAAAAGUGGCACCCACAACAUUGUGCCCUGUUUCUUUGCGAUAAAAAAUAGACACUAUGGCCGCAUCCACACGUGUGUGGACGUCUGGUUCUCUGGAGACAACUAGCAGCAGCACACCUAGUGCCAUUGCAAGUUCUCUCCAGGGAACACCUGUGCCAUGUGCCCUUUGGCACGUGGCAG